rnacentral:rRNA from 1 species
AAGUAGUAAUAGAUAAUUCUUGAAACUUAAAAGAUUUGGCGGUAUUUUAUCUUAUCAGAGGAACCUGUAACUUAAGUGAUAAUCCACGUCUUAUUACGCUUUAUUUAAAAUACUUGUAUAUCGCUGUCACGGAUAUAUUUAUAAGUUAAAUUUUCAAUUUUAUAAAUUUCAUGUUAGGUCAAGGUGCAGUCUAAUAAGAAAAUUAUGGGUUACAAUGAAUAAAAGGAAUGUUAUAAAAAGGAUUUGAUAGUAAGUUUAUUAAGGAAAUAUUUUGAAUAAAGAUUCUAAAAUAUG